rnacentral:lncRNA from 1 species
GGAGACGGAGGGUGGAGAUUCUUCAGAUCUUGUGGAGCUUGUCGGCCUUCACGACGGGGUUGGCGCGGGCGAUGGCCGCGCGGCCGGCCGCCUUGAAGUCGAACGUGCAGUCGUGUUGCUCGGCGUACCGAUGGACGCCGCAGUAGGUGGCCCCGCACCGGCACUGGAACCCCGUCAGCCCCACCCUCUUGCGGCACCUCGCGCACCGGCUCGGCCCCUCCGCCGCGCUCUUCUUCUUCUCCGUCUCCUCCGGCGGGGCGGCCGGGACAGAGGCGCCGCUCACCUCCUCGUCAACCACGACGACGGCUGGGGAAGAGGCAGGGAAGGAUUUCGCGACGGUGAGCAUCGCCGAGGCGGCGGAAGAAGAGGCCGGCUGCUGCUGUCGCUCCUGCUCCUCCUUGAGGCGGUGAUCGCGGUAGCAUUUAGAGCAGAGGUUGAGCGUCGCGGGGCUCCCGAAGAAGCCACAGUUGUUCGCGCAGAGGCGGUGGCCCUCCUGGCAUCGCUGCUCUUCCGCCAUUCUCCUCCCUCCCCUUUCUUUCCAGAUCAAUCGCUCGGCCGGUCAAUCUGCACGCGACCAAUAGCAAGCACACAUCAAAUAUUAUAGAUCGACCACCAAAUCCGCUCCUUUUCUCCCUCUGACAAUAAUAUAAAAGACAAAUCUUUGGCGUUACGGAUCCACAAAAUCCAUUGCUUCCGGUUCAAGAAAAAGGCAACACCACAACCCAAAAGCUCAAACAACCUCUACAGCAAGGAAUCCCAUCAGAAACAUGCGCAUGGCAUACCGUCUCAACGAUCUCCACAACCACAAAAAGAGAAAGAGAGAAAGAUUGAGAAAACGGCACCUUGUUAUGUGAGAACAAG